UGACACUGAGCCAGCAUCUGAAAAUUUUAAGGUCAUUAUGGGGUGGCAAAAACUCACCCAGACAUUCAUGUUUAAUCCACACAGUGGAUAUGGCAUCUGCCUGGAGUCAUCCUGACUCUGACUGCAUAAUUUUGUCCCUUAGGGACUGAAUCCCGACUGAACACCAGCAAUGCUAAUUUUGCGAAGAUCUAUUUAUUUAUUGGCCAUAUCCCUCCUGCACAGCAUUGCCUGGGAUUCCCUGAUACAGAAAACAGCUCUGUGUAAGAGCACAGGCUCUACAUGAUCCAUGGAAAACAGUCCCACUUGCUGACAAGAGAGUGAAAGUAACGUAGAUGCUGCAUUAACUUAUUGGUGAAAAGGCUGCACAUCACUGGUGAGGGAUGAAAGACAAACUGGACUGUUGGAAUCCUGGAUGGAGCCCUGGACUCUUGGAACCCUGCAUUAUUGGAUAUCAAAAGUGCAAUGCUGGAGCCUUGAUCAGCAGGAACAGAAACAAGACUUGCCUGGCACUGAGACAUUAACCCUCUAAAAAAACAUCUAAACUGACCAACACCCUGGAAUUCACCAGGAGGAGUGACCUGAGUGAACAGCAUUACAGCUCUGUCUUUUCUUCUUCCCUUAAACUGACCACUUCCCUUCUCAUCACAGCUGCUACUAAGACAGUUUUCCACUGCCUCUCCUCUCCUCCCUGGCCUACCUCUUCCCAUCUGCUGCCUGCUGUCAUUUUUUCCAGUUCCACCCAGGCCUUGCCUCACUCUCUAGCCUGUGUCAGAAUUGGAACAAUGGCUUUUUGAUCUACAAUCAAAACCUAUCAUCCGAUCAAUGAUCUGCAGGCAAACAGCAUUCUGGAGAGAGGUCUACAUGAUGGAUAUAAACUUCUCUUCCUGCUCAUUUCUGAAGCAGUCAGUGCACUUAAUUCCCAAAAUAUAGUCUGAGCCUACACAGACAUCAAGAUCCUGGUAACUGGAACAUAUUGUUUAAGUAUGUGGGAAUUCUGGAAGUCUCUUCACACCCAAAAUCACUCAUUCAUUCUCUGUUUUGCAGCAUUUGGCCAUGCAAAGUGACGCUCCCAAACAGGGCAUUGGAGGAGACUCAGCUCAGCAAAGCUGCAGGUAGAGCAGAACUCAUUGCCACUGUUUUCCAUAUGUUCCUCUCUAUGGGGGCCUGACUGGACCUGACCUGAGGAAGAUGCAGAAUGGAAACUUAAUGGAGAAGCAAGUCCCACCCCCAGAUUCCAUGAGCUGCACUUUGGUCCUAUCAAGACAGGAAGGCAGCUGCAUGAGAGGUGGAAAGAGAGAAAAUGAUAAAGAUGAAAUCAGCACCAACAGCUAUCAUGGGCAGGGAAAGCAGCGUUGGAUCCCAGCCACAAUAACUUUGCAACCUGGUUUGAAUGGGCCUGAUGGGAUGCUAUAAUGUAACCUACGCUGAACAAGGGAAGGGGAUUAAAAUCUGUGUUCACAGGCUGAGAGCAGGUGUCUGUGAUGAGACCCCAUGCUGUGACAUGGAUGCAGCACAUUCUUACAUGAAAAGCCCUGGCUGAUGAAAUGACCACAGGAAGACAACAUGGAACCCUCCCAGCACAAUCGGAAGAAGCUUAAUUAAGCUCUGUGGUUAAAUUUAAAGACUUUUUGUCAGAAGCAUGGCAAGGAACUUUAGUUUGGCUUUCAAAAGUGCUGAACACCCAAAACUCCAACCAAGCCUUCCUGGAAUUACAGCUCAAAAAUCCAGGUCUUGGGAUGAAGAGCAGAAGCUGAAGUCUGCUAGCCAGUUGACUGUUCAUACAAGAUACUCUCCGAAUGUUCAUAGCUAUAGUCAGAGGACAGCCAGAUAAGAGAGAGACGCAGGUACCUCAGAAUAAGCUGCAUCCUUACAAGGGUAGUAACUGUGCCAGGAGAAUAUGUUCCCAUGCCUUUUAUUUAGGGGAUGGUAAACAGAAUGUCAGCUCUUCUUGCAGGACUGCUUGCCCUACUUGACCAUUGAACUCAGUGCAGCUCUGAGGAUUUUUUAACCCUACCCCAGCGACAGAUGGCCCCACACUGGCACAACAGGGAGAGCAGUGAACUGCAGGAUGACCAUGGGAAUGAACAGUGGCAUGAAGGAGCAGGAAACAGCUUUGCAGCCAGGGAAAGGGCCUGUAUAACUGCUUCUGGAGGAAGAUGCCACGAGGUAGACUGAAGUGAGACAAAGGAGAGCUGGCCAUGGCCACAGCAUCACAUUGCUGCUGAAUGUGCAGUGGUCCUCAGCUAUGUCCUAUGAGGGGAUGCAGUAGGUGUUUCCAAGGCAGAGGGUACAUCUGGCUUGAGAAUUCUGAGCUGGUACUGUGUCCUAUCCCAGUCUCCUGUCAGGCUCAUAUUUCUGAAAAGAUUUUGGGUAUAAGCUUGUUUUUUUGUGUCUGAGCUCACCAGAGGCCAGGGAUUGUAAAGAGUUUUGUUAUUCCCUGCUGAAUGUGUCAGUCACAUCCAAGAGCAUCAGGCCCUGACAGCAAGCUUCUUACCACCCACAUUCCUGUCCACCACAGUUCUGUGAGUAAUGUGGUGUGGCGGAGGGAAGAUGAGCAUGGGAUGUAUCCCACUGCAGCCCACAAGCAUCAGCACUGUGUCCUGGCUGUCGGAACCAUGAACAAGCCCAAAUCCCCACCAGGGAUGAUGCCACAGCACUGGCCCCAGGUGAAAGGCAGCAUCAGGUCUUCAGUGUGUUGUUUGUAGAAAGCUAGGAUCACUCCCCAUUGAGCUGAAGUAUUUCUUGGGCCUCUUCAGUGGCAGGCACUGUCAGAUAUAGAGGAGAAUGUUUUCAUCACAGCUAACAGAGGGCUAUCCAGAUUGCUCGUAACUGUUUUUAGCACAGUAAACAUGCAAACCAAGUGCCUGGGGAAAGGGAAAAAAAAAAAAAAAAAAAGAAAAAGCCUGUCCUUGCAGUAGCUGAUCAUUUUUAAUUAAAUCUCAAUCUAUCAAUCCAGUUACUGUGUGAGAAGGAGAGAAACAGCCUUGAAUGGUUUAGGAUGCCGGCGAUCUGAGAUGCUCCAUGACCCUGUGCAGAAGCCAAGGCACUCCUGCUGCCAGCACGAGGACAAGGCACAGGGCCAGAAUGGUCCCGUCAGCCUGGCCUCCACCUUGCAGCUCACUGCACGAGAGAGUCUGCCAGAGCCUCACGUAGGUUUCUUCAGAAGGUGAUGUGGUUCCUGGCCUCACUGAGCUUCCCUGGAAAGCAGGGUUUGUGGCAUUUGGGUGUCCUGGAUGGUACCAUGAGAAGCAUGAGCACUUCUGCCCAAGCUGAGGCAAUGCCAGCUUCCUCCCCAGCUGGAUAGAGCUGAGCAUGGCCCAGGAGAGCUGACUGCCAUGGCAAGUGGGCACCAUUUGGGAUGGGACAGAGCUUGGGGGAGCCCUCCUGGGGACCCGGCACCCAUAGCAUCUGCAGUGCCUCUCCUCAUUGGAUGGGGAUAGAGUCAAUGGGGAGUGAGUUAUCUUUUGGUCUCUGAGCUCAAGGAUUCUAAUGAAACUGGUUCAGAGUACUUUAAAAUCUGUAGAUUUUAGGUAGAGAGGGUUCAUCUGAUGAAAUGUGAUAUUUAUUGUCUUCAUAUCUUUCUCACUGUUAGUUGUGUUGUUCAUGAAUGAGGAAUGAAAGAAAGAUGUAAAGGCAGUUGCCAGUUUUGAUGCCAGUUUUGAUACCGGUUUUGGGUCUGAGACGAGGCGGAAGGGGGAGGGAAUGGCAUGUGUUCAUUUGCUUUUCAAGAACAAUAAACCUCAAACCUGAAAAUAUUUCCUGUUUGAAAAUAGUGAUUAGCUAGAUCCAAUUUAGCUUACUGUAUAGUGUCCAGCGUCUGAGCAUCUAAGCUGUGGCCCUCUUUGAGCAAGAUGAUCCCCAGAAGUCCUUGCCAAUCUCCAUCUUUCUGUGAUUCUGUGAUCUGAGAUGUUACAAAAGGUGAGUAAAUGAAGCCUCUGAUAUCCUGUUGCAACAGGGAACCGAGGCACAGGGUAAUGUACCUAGGUAUACAGUGGCCUGGUUGUCUGGUGAGAAGCACUAACAUGACAACUUUACAUGCAGCCCUGUUCCCUCAAACAAGCAGCCACAGAUGGUCAUAUAGCCUUUGGCUGGCACUUGUGGCUCAUAAUAAGGGUAGAGGCAGCCCUAUCUGAUCUAUGCAGUGGCCUUGAUUUCCCAUUGAGGCACCACAGUCCAAGAGAAUAAGUUUCUUAUCCGUCUCAUAACGCCCACCUCAUUUUUCACAUGAAAUGUGCUUUAUGCGUUAAUUCGUUUUCUUGUAACUUACAUUUCAAAGGUCUGUAGCUCCUUAAUAUACCUUAGAAAACCGUCAGGUUUUCCAUGCUCAAAAAGUUGCAGGUAUUUUUGCAACAGCACCUUCCAUUUACUGCAGUGGAAAAAAAGUAAUCAAUUCUUAAUUCAGUGGAAGCUACUAAAUUAAAAAUCCUUAAAUUACCUGGACCCAAGGAAGUUCGGAGCUUGAUUCUGGAUCUAUCAACUGAAUGGGAAUAUUAAUCUGUGGAACCAAGACUACCCCCUGAUUAAUUAAGCUUUAUGCUAAAUACAAACAGUAUUUAGUGAUGGGGGGAGGACGAGGGAGGAAGCAGCCACCUAAAUAUUAUCUUUUUCUUAUAAAGGUGGCCUGUUAUAUUUCUGGAAAGCUCAUUUUGCUAUAGGUCUCUACAUGCAACUUUCCCUGAGGGCAGUGGAUGGGGGUUUUCUACAUAUUUGUCUCAUAAUUCUACAUCCUUGCUGGUUGUAUAAAUUAAAGCGACAUAAUCACCAUGCUUUCUUAUCAUGAUUUCUUACACCUCAAAAGAACUCCUGUGGCAGUCAGGCAGUAAUACAAAAUUAAAGUCAGGCAUUUUCUACCUCUUCACCAGAAGGUGCCCAAUGAUCCUGCACAGGAAGUUCUUUCCUAUCUGUGACAGGUUUGUGAUGGGCAUGCCUUCUUCUGAACAGCACAUUGUCUGCUUUGAAUAAUUUUCUCCUUCAUGUCUGUGCUUUCAUGGUCUCUGCAGAAACUUCCACAGAAAUUCUUAAAUGAGAACUUGUCCUUCCUUCCUUUCUUAUGAUAAGGAAAACUGAGCCAAGGUCUCCCAACUGACAGUCAUCACAGCAAGCAACAUCUGAUCAGAACUGCUACUUACAAGGCUGAGCACAUUUCAGCUGGUGGCCUGACUGACUGACCAAUGCUCACAUAAUCCAGCCAGCCCUCUCAUUGCUAAACAUCUUCUGGUGGAACCAUUACUUAAUUAAAAAUGCCUUGACCAGUCCUAUCAAUGUGGGAAGCCAAGACCACAAAGACUUUAUAAGAAAAGUCAGUGUAACUCCAAAUGAAAAACCUAUUCCUGCUUUUCUCUCUACUCUCUAAUUUCCCCUGCAGAUUCACUGGUGCUGGUGAGCCAUGACAUAUGCACGGCAGAUUUGUAUAUGAAAUAACCCACCUCUUCUGCUCUUCCCCCUGCUACAGCUGCUUCCUCACCCCCCACACCUCAUUCUUGUAACUAGACCUUGCCCACCAAAAAUCUUCUAAUAGAAAAAGAAAGAAAAAAGGAAAGAACUUUCCAAUGACCAUCAGGCUGUUACAACAGUUCAAGGGUUUUGCAUGGAUUUGACUUUUUCAGCUUCAGCCCAGGACUGUGAGCACAAGCUCUGACUGAUGAUGUGAGCAACCUCUCUGCCACACUAAGCUAAUCACAGCAAGCCAGCUUGAAGUGUCAGUGUAUGAUGGACAAAUGCUAAAAGGCAAAACAGAUGGAAAAUAACAAGUCAUUAUUUUACGUUGUAAACCUACCAAAUACAGUUUGCUAGUAAUUAAACCUCUGCAAAUACAUCCCUGCAGAUAGCUUGAAUAUGGCCUCAGUUCAGAGCUGCUAAGUGAAACACUGAACAAUGGAUUCCUCUUUGCAAACACAUUUUUGUUAAAGAAGAAAGUUGAGGUUAAACUGUUCAAGUGUAUAAAGUGCUUCAGAUUGGACUCUUGGCCCUAAGUGUUGGAAUUUUGUCCCAUUGAAAGUGGCUUUGGCAAAAUGCCUCCAAUCACUCUCCUCCUGCACCACAGGGAGGGCAGCAUGCCGGCACAAAUAAAUAAUGGUUGCAUCUGAAGGAGAAAGUUGAGUGAGCUGGCAUAAGAGAUGAUACAGAGAGAGCUGUGCUUCUUCUACUAAGUGUGAGGGCUUACUUUUCGCCAAGGAAAUAAACAGAAUUUGCCUGCAAAUUUAUCUUCCUACAGUGUUAAAAUAUUUCCCUCCUGUACUUGAUUUUUUACUAAAGUCUAUGCUUCUGCUGCCUGCUGUUCUCUUCUCCCUUCUCCAAUGGUUCUCUUUUCUUCCAACUUCUCUUCUUCACUAUUGCCUCCUCUCAUUUCUUUUCCUUUUGUGAAAUAUCCCAUCACAUACCAUGAAUGUUUUAUUCUCCCUCCACUUUACAGACUCCAGGUAGUACUUGUAAACUCCCAUGGGCAGUUGUCCUGCAGCAGUGUUUCUGUACCAGCCCUUCCUUCACCCUUUGUAACAAACCAACUAUGGACAUUUGUUUGUUUGCAUAAGCUACAGGCAUAUACUUUUUUAAAGACCUUAUCCCACAGCUAUAUUAAGUUUCUAAUGCCAUUUCAUCAUUAAAAUGCUUCAUUCUUCACAGUUGAAGCAAGAGCCUGAUGCCUGCUUACACUGACUGAUAAAAUGGUAACCACAAGUAGUCUAAAAUAUAAAAUUGAUCUGUGUAGGCUGGUUCAUGACCCUGAAGAAAGCAUCCAUCCAUGCGAUAAUCCUUGUCUUCGGUCUACCACUGAUCUAGCCAUAAAGAAACUGACAGAUUUUUGUUACCUAACAGCACCCUUUUCUGGGAGAUAUAUAAGGAAACUUAAAUAACAGGUCUCUCUGGGAAGCAUAUGGUACAGUAGCAGAAAAUUGUGACUCUAGCAGUGGGACUCUGCCAUGGUAACCUCACUCAACAUGGGGAAUACUGUGUCUUCUCCUAGUUGGUUUGUGUUUUCAACCUCUUUUAAAGAGACAAUAAAUUGUUUCAGUGGACAAAUCCUCACUGAAAAAAGAGGUCGCUUUCCCGGGGCUGGACUUCAUUAUGCCUACUGAGGCUCUGCUUAGGCUCUGCUCUUCCAGGUUCUCUAAUUCAUCUCAGGUUCAGAGAAAACCUGUGCUCACUUAUUUUUCUUUGUCUGAUCCUGUUGCUUAAACACAAACUCAGACACUUGGCUGUGUUUGCUCAUACAGCAGCAGCCAGCAGCUUCUCCUGCACCCUCUGACAUCUUGAGUAUUGGCACUUCCAUUCUUACAAUGAGGAGAACUGGCAGCAGGAAACUCAAGGCAGGCAAUGAUGAGAAGAAAGAGGAAUUCCUGCCAGACACUGCAGGAAUGUUGAAUUGUCUAUUUGUGUCUAUGUCUGCCCACUGCACACAUGUCAAUCUAUGGAGAAGAGCUCACAUAUCAACCCCUUCUCAGGUGCUUUGAGCCAGCUCUUAAAUUUCAGGAAAAGCCACACUUGGAUAAGCAAUGUAAGAUGAUGCACCAAGCCACACACAUGGGAGUGCCAGGCAAACUGUUCAGGAUGUAAUGUUGUGAGUGACAGGAGACAGAUGUACAUAAACAUUAGUUUAUACAGAUCCCAGUUUCCUUCUGUGCUUUAGAGAACACACAGGUCCCAGUUUCUCCUCUGCAUAUCUUCCCAUUGCAAUACUCUGCUCUUAUGUUCUCAGAACUUUGCCAGGUUAAGUUGUUUAAACAUUUAAUUGCUAUAUCAUUAAACUCAAUAUUUUUCUUUCCCUGUUGUCCAUUCAAAGCAAAGAGAGAAACUAAAUCAAAAUAUUUCAGGUUUUUUGGUUUUUGAUGAAGUUGAGAUUGAAAUCAAGGAAAGUUAUUUGUUUGGAAAAACAAUAAGCAUAGAGCCUUCAUUCAGAUGCCCUAAUCCUGUGCUGCUUGAAACUGAAUAUCUGCUUUCAGGAUGUUACUGUGCAUAUGCUUGUUUGCCAUUUUAGUGGACAUUUUUCUCAAAUGUGGCAAAUUGUAUACAUAUAUAAAAUGAAAACCACCAUAUGCCUGUGUCUGGAGAAGAGUUUUUGAAGCUUAGCAACUGUAGUAUCUGAAGAAUCCCACUUUCAGAACCUUCCAAUGAGGAUGCUUCAUCCUCUCAUGCCUAGAGACCAAAUUAUGUGGUCUUGCUAUCAGGUGACUUGGCAUGUUCCAGCCAGCAAUACAACCUAGUCCUUCCUUACAGAGGAUGAAGGAUAGUGUGCUACUGUCAAUGGAAUACAAAGCUAGGAAAUUUUCUUUUUCAGUUACAAUUUAUAAAGUUGUUCAUGCCCAGAGAGAAGGGCAUGGAUGGGAUGAGGUAGAGUUUUGGGCAAAGGUUGAGCAAUGGAAAUAAUAUUAAUCAUAAUUUUAAUAUUUUCUCAUUUUUAACCUGUUUUAUUCUGGCAUCUUUGUAUUCUUUCCUUAUGAUGCAAUUAUGUGCAUUUAAAAUAUCCUUAUUAUUAACAGGCAAUCAUAAUAGUAAAAUAUACACAUCAUUUUCUUUGCAUUGUAGCUGCUUAAAAGGUUUAUGAAAUUGUCUAUGACAGUUCCUUGACAGGAAAAACCAGAGAUAUUACUAUAGUAACAUUCAAAGGUGAUUGCAACAAAAAUAAAUUAAUUCAAACUAAGACAAUAUUUACUUACAUAAAGUGAGUCAUUUGGAUUGUGUAUUCCUGACAAUGGUGAAGAACGAAAAAAUCAUCAAGGAAGAAUGACAAUGUGUCCUCACUCCAUACUGCAGAGUCCAAAGUCUUUCACUGUCAACCAAGGAAAAAACAGUAACACAAAGGGGGAAUCUAUAUUCCUGUUUAGCAGACUUAAGUAAUGCACUAAAAGUGGGCUGAGUUCACUUUCACAUAUGCUUUGGGUUGCCCCUUGAUUUCCAUGCAAGCACCUGUUUAUAGCAGGGAUGUGUCUGUGCAGAGAGGGACCCAACAUCCCUUGGAUCAGGCCGGGAAUAUGAAAGACAUGACAGAGAUCUUCAUUACAGAUCAGAAACAUGCAGAAAGAAUCUGAAAGCAGAUUUUGCCCUGCACAAGAGCCUGGCAUCAAAUGUGGGUAUUCCUGUUCUGCUCCCAGCAAAGUACACAUAAUAAUAAAAUAAACAUAAAGCCUCUGUGCUCCUGCGGACCUCUGAGCACUUAAAUAGGUAAAACCAAGGUGCCAAAUUCUGCUCUUCCUGUGCAGCUCCAUUCAUGUGCAAGUGGUACAGAGUCUGACAUUAGAAGUUUAGCAUAGUGGAGGUGGGAUGUGGAACACCAGAAAAGGACAAGGUUAUGAUUUUUCCAUACAGAAAGACUGAGGGGCUCCCAUCUGAGUGAUUUCACUUUAGAUGACAGGUAAAAAAAAUAAAAAUUAAAAGACUGUGCAUUUCUCUCUAACAUUCUGUAGCACUUUGGCUGGAUACAAUGGCAGCUGUGAGUUUUGGGAGAUGCUCCUCAGAACUGUGAAAGCACAGAGAAAAUGCAGCCACAUGAGACACAGAAUUCCCUGUCUCUCUGCCCCUCAUAUAUGCUACAUUUACUCAAGAAUGGGAAAAACACACUUCAGAUGCCAUUAAUAGACUGAAAUAAAUUGUAUCUUAGGAUAGAUGCAUUACUCGUAAUUCAAGGAAUGGCACUCAUAUAGAGUGAUUUGCCCAUUCUCAGUCUACCUAAGGGUCUGAAUCCAGGAGAGGCAAUUCCACAGGCAGUUAGCUGCCUUGGUGGAGGGGAAUGCCAUGCACCCAAGAGCAUGGGGUGGGGAAGUGAAGGAGGACAGGACAGAGGCAAGGGAAAGAAUUUAGCUUUGCCCUCUAAAAUCCAACCCUCUCUUUUUAAAAUAAAUAUUUUUAAUCACCUUGACAGCCAGUGUAGCUAGCUCUUAAGUAGAAAAGUUCAAAGUAAUUGUGCUUCUAUUGCCUAAAUUUUAAUUAGUCUGUAGGUAAACAGGAGCUUUGAAGUUGUCUACACAGCAAUUUCCAUGUGCCCUGUUGACUUGAAGAGACCAAAGACUCCAGCAAUAUUCAAAGAUGCCUUCUGCAGAUGUGUAAACUAUUUCACAAAGUGCAAAUGUGUGCAUUUAGGUCUUAGCCUGAGAGAUCUUUUUAAGGAUGUGGAUACUAAUUUUAAAAAGUGACAUUCCAUGCAGACCUAUAGGUCUCCAAAGAAUAGUUGCCAAGUCAGGUUCCCAGAAGGGCCGAGACCUGAAGACCCAGAGCAGACCAUUGUGUCAUAGCUUAGGCCGAGAAGCUCUGAGCAAUAAAUUUGUGUAAGUGAUAAAACCCUCCAGACUGUAGAAAAAUCAGAUGGUGUUCAUUUCCAUGAUAAUUCAUGCUUUGGUUGAGCUACUUUUGACUUACAGUGAGAGAUGAAUUUGACCUGCUCUCUCUUUCUCAUCUGCUGGGCUGCAGCUGUGCCCUCUAGCACUGUAUAUGUAUUCCAAGCUCAUCUAGAUGUUGAAACAAAAGCACAAAUUAGACGACAAUCUUCCAUUCUUUCUGUGUGCUGCCAAUACCUGUUUGUCACUAUAAUGGUAUUAAUCAGCCUUUAUUUAUAGCAGAAUAUUGGAAGCUUCCAUUUUUCCCUUUUGAUUUAUUUGUAGGACAACAGGUGCACAACUUAAGCAGGUGUAUGGAUGUGUGCAUAUGUUGUGAGUUUGCUGAUAGCCACAAAACAUCUUUAGUAAAUUAUUACUUGUAUCAAAGCUGCCAUUAUUUUUAUUUUACGCCUAAACUGAAUUUCACAGCUGUUAGCUCCUACACUCCAUUAGCUGUUUUGUGUCACAACUGCAGUAAUGCAGCUCGGGGGUGCAAGACCUCUUCUCUCACCCUCCAAAAACCCACACAAAUAAAACAUCUCUAAACCAUGCACUGCUUCCAGUUUCUUCUGAAACUUGGGAGAGGCACUGAAAAUGUAUCAACAGUUUCCAUUGGCAACUGCUGCAGAGUAGCAUGUUACUGGUUCAACAGCUGAUGUGAAAUGCCUUUCCAUAUGUAAAGCUCUGCCUUAAACACACAAGGGACACAAAUAAAAAAACUUCGUACUUUCUUUUUCUUUUGUCUAACAGUAAAUGGGUGGUGUUGAAGUGCUGGAUGCUUUAAAAAAAUGCAGUUAUAAUUUUGAAUCCAAGCUGUGAGAACACUCAUUGGAGACAACUGUUCUCCCAUGGGUUAGCCUUGAAUAAACAAUCACAGCUCUGUGUGAUAUUAGUUCUUAACCAGAUUCUAGCAUUGAGCUGUUGCCUCGCCAUGGUUACUUGCCUUUUAAACCAAUGUUUCUUUUCCUUCUUUUUUGCCAAGAUUCUUGCUUGCUUGGCAGUGGCUCGUUCUCAUUUGAACUUUUGCCCUAUUUUAAUCUCCACCAAAUUUUUACUCUAAAAGAACCUUUUCACUGAUAUCUCUUUGUUGCCCUGAAUUUCUUUUCUGUGUGUGAGAACUUACUUGGGGACAUGGCUUACGGGAAAGAGCCCAAGUGACUGUCUUCUGAGUAUCCAGAAGCUGGCAGACAUCUGUGAGAUUAGAAAACAAAGCCACAACAGCACAAGACAGUAGCCACUCCCAAAACAAAAUUGAAUAGAAAAUAAGGAGACACACAAACUACCAGGUCAUUCAUUUGGAGAUUUAUUUGUCCUUGCAGGCCCUGAGCUUGCCUCACUCCAACUUAUCUGAGGAUAACAUCAUUAAAACCCAUGUAAGAGCAUCACUCUAACACACAGGGUUCCAAUCCAGAAUCCCUCACUUGUCCUGUUCCUCUGAAGCUGCCAGAGCACUGGGGUCCCAUGGACCUUAUUAGAGCCCUAAGGAAAGGGAACAUAGCUCUGGUUGUUUUGAGGUGAUUCUCCAGGCAACCCAGAAGAAACAAACCAACAGCUUCUAUAAAAAAAUCUAAAAUUCCUCCUUUACAAGAAAAAUGUGUUAUCUUGAAAUAUCUUGACUAUUUUUCUUUUGUGGAAAUUAUUAAAUGAGAAAAUUAAUGGGAACUUCUGAAGGCCCUCUCUAAAAAUUUCUAGCCACAUAGCUGAUUAAAAUUAUUUCCACUGCAGAAAAAGGAAAAAAAAAAAAAAAAAAAAAAACCAAAAAAACAACAACACAGCUUUGUCUUAGUUGCUCAUUCGGCAUCUUAUUCCUCAGAAAAUGUCACUGUGUGGUUGCCUAAAGGAAAGGCAAGUACAUGUGGAUAAUAUACAUGUUCUUAUGUGGUUGCAUACAUACAAAUGUACAAAACCACAACAUAAUUAUUUUGUACUAAUAAUUGGUUUUGGUAAAAUCUAUUUUCUUGCCAGAAGCAUAACUUCCAAUUUUCCAGUGUUAACAAAAGCACUGUUAUUACAAUUUAUUAAUCUCUCAGUCUUGGCUGUGUCAUUUGGGCUGAAUUUUUAGCAUAAAGUAAAACACAGUUUAAGCCUGUAGGACAACAUACCCCUUUGGUGUGCUGUAUGUAAAAUGAACCAGAGUAACAUCCUACUGGUAUGUGCAUUCUGACAGACAAACAAGAGGCCAAGGAUUCAGUCAUCUAUAUUCACAGGUUAAUAAGGAGUUGUGUUCACUUACUAAGACCAACUUUUCAACAUUUAAGAUUUUCUAACUUUCAUUUAAAUGUAGGAAAACCAGCAAGUUACAUCUUUCUUUUAAAAUAUAAUCUAAUACUGCAUAUGUUAGAUUUUAAAUGAAAGCAAUAAAAAGUCUAUCCUUGUUUGCUUUUAUUUAUUAACUUAUAGAGGAAAAUUUUCAUCAUAGUAGCAAAAUCAAUACUCUGAGAUAAAAUUUCUAACAAGAAUUUCCUUUCUCAUGAAAUUGUAUUGGCAAUUUAUUUUUUUAUCUCUAUUGAAACAGUAAAAUGUAAAAAACAAUGCUCCCUUUUUUUUCUUGUGAAAGGUCUUUAUUUACUUUAGAACCCAAGCAGGAGGUACAUGUUCAGCUGACUUCAAUCAAUUUCUGCAUCUUUGAUAUCUCUUCAUUUGCACAGAAAUCCUGUCUGACAGAAAAAUCACUAGCUAAUUGACUGGAGUUUGCCUUAUAUAACUGGUCUUUCUGGUGAAUGGAAGCCUCCUUUUAUAGGAACAACUCCAGGACAAAACCGUGCCUUGCAGAAAUGCGGAUGGGAGCACACACACACAGCCACACUGUCACCGACUGCACUGCUCCCACCAGACUCUCACAGCCAGCACUGCUCAGGUUUUAGGAAGGGGCUUCGCCCCGUAAAAUGCCAACUUUUGUCCCGAUGCAGAAUGUCACUUUCCCACACGGAGCAGUACCUUGAUCUGGCAGAUGCAACACUGCCACAAUUGUGACACCUCAUGUCAGUUCUGAAAAAAUUGUGUGGCUGCUACAAAGAGAUCUCAUCUAACCACCAGAAAACUAUCUCACUGAACUUCAGAUAGAAGCAAAAUUGACACAUGCUUGGGGAUAAGAGUGGCACAGACAGCAGGGGAGAGAGAAGUGCUUGUGAAAGACUUCAGAGUGCAGGGAAUUCAUUCUUGCUGAUGAGAAGGCCUUGAGGAACUCAACCUAAAAAUUAUUGCAUUGUUGUAAGAAUGAGAAAAAAAAAUCACUCAUUACUACAAAAGCAUCACAGGGCCAUUCAAGCACAUUGAAAGCUUUUCUGAAAACAUGCCUUCUGGUAAAGGAGCCAUAUCUCUUCAGUGUCACUGGACCUGGAGCUGUUGACAGAUGAGUAAAGGUAUGCCAGAAAGAAUGCAGCAUUGUGGGAGGGACUGCUUUUCCUCAGCAUUAAGGUAGAAGAUACAGCCCCUCCUCAGCUGAAUAUUGCUCUCCAGGUUACAUAAUCCAGCCUGCUGAAUCAAGAAAUCACCACUGGCAGUCCCAGAUAACUUGUUUUGGUUUGCCAUUUCAUCAGUAGUUGCACGUGCUUGAGGCACUCCCAUAUUUAGUGGAAGAUGCCUCCUCGCAGGGACACAGCUUCCUGGAUGGCAUACACACCUUGCUGCACACUCUGCCAGGGCCUGAGCAUCUCCCAGCAAACAGCCCUCCAGCCAGCAAGAUGUGCUCCUUGAUAAGGGAGGAAUCACUGCCAGAUCAAGACAGCAAUGGUGAGAUGCAGGAACAGGCUGAAUCAGCACAGGCAGAUCAAAACGUCAGCACAGCUGUCACAUCUGCGUGCUAAAGUUUCUUGCAGGGAAGUGAAAUAGCUCAAGAAGGGAACUCUUUGCCUCCACUUUUCAUAAUGCCACUCCAGAGCUUCUCUGUAUGCAUACUUUGCCUCUUUGAGACUCUUUGGAAUGUCUAUUAUCCAUGGGAAAAAUACCCUUUCCUAAUACAGACUGCAAGCAGAGGCACCAGAGUCAAGCAGGAGCAUUGGAACACUUGUGCUGCAGUGAACUAGAGACUUUAUUUGUAUCUGUCCUGCGACUGCACCAUUCCCACUCCCAUUUCCAGAAUACCUCGUCCUUGAAUGUGCCAAACACAAAAUUUGGCACUAAGAGCUGACUUAUGCGAAAACAUAAAUUGACAGAUUACCUUCUUUUUUAAGAAGUCCCACUUAUUCCAUUUUCCCAGAGCUGAGUACUGGUGUGCAGUCAUGUAAGAAUAAAAUACACUCUCUUUUAAAUCACUUGUCAUUUCUGUGCUGGGUUGUCCUGGCUAUAUAACCUCUGAGCUGCUGGCAGCAUGGUCUUUUGCCCACCCAGGCUCUACCCACAACUAACCACAUGGGCCACAUUUAUGAGAAAAGCUCAGCCCUCAAACAUAGAGGAAAGGAUUCAGACAGCUGCUGACUCCAGGCAAGGACCUGCCACAGCUCCCUCCAUCACCUUGAGCAAAAUCACUGAAUUGUAAAGGUUGGAAAAGACCACUAAGAUCACGGAACUCAUCUGUUACCACCCCAGCUUCCCCAGUGGUAAAACAGGCCCCAAUACCCCAUAUCAGACACCUGAGCAAACCUAAUCACCUCAUAAUACUAAUUCUGUAGUUUUAUUUAUUUCAUAGAAUCCCAGAAUGGUUUGGGUUGGAAGAGACCUUAAAGAUCAUCUAGCUCCAACCCCUCUGCCAUGGGCAGGCACACCUUUCACUAGACCAGGUUGCUCAGACCUCCAUCCAACCUGGCCUUGAACACUUCCAGGAAUGGGGCAUCCACAUCUUCUCUGGCCAACCUGUGCCAGUGCCUCCCCACCCCCACAGUACAUAUUUUCUUCCUAAUAAUCUAAAACCACCAGACUUCAGUUUAAAGCCAUUCUCAUUUCCCCUUGUUCUAUCACUACAUACUGCUGUCAAAAGUCCCUAUCCAGCUUUCUUGGAGGCCCCCAUUAGGUACUAAAGGUGCUACAAAGGUAUUAUAAAGGAAGAUGCUGUUAAGUCUCCUUGGAGCCUUCUCUUUACC